GAAAUUUUUACAAUGUACAAUGUAUGCACCACAAGGGGGGUAGGGGGUGGGGGUGGGGGUAGGGUAGAGAAAAACUAAGAAGAAAUACAAUGAAAUGAAUAUACUUGAGAAAGAAAACACCAGUAAAACUAAUCUUCUUCUUCUUCAUCUUCAUCAGCAUCAUCAGCACCAGCAUCAUCACCUAUACCUUCCAGCAAUGUAUCUACAUCUUCACCUAGCUCUCUCA
rnacentral:misc_RNA from 1 species